rnacentral:miRNA from 1 species
GCCAAAAAGUUCAUUCAGAUUUUUCCGUAAGCUGUUACGAAAACUCCGAACGAAUUUUUUGGC